CGUUAAGUAGACCGCCUGGGGAGUACGGUCGCAAGAUUAAAACUCAAAUGAAUUGACGGGGGCCCGCACAAGCGGUGGAGCAUGUGGUUUAAUUCGAUGCAACGCGAAGAACCUUACCUACUCUUGACAUCCAGAGAAGCCAGCGGAGACGCAGGUGUGCCUUCGGGAACUCUGAGACAGGUGCUGCAUGGCUGUCGUCAGCUCGUGUUGUGAAAUGUUGGGU
rnacentral:rRNA from 1 species